rnacentral:lncRNA from 1 species
UGGGGGAGAGACUCCCACUUCUAUUAAGUGCUCCAAGUGUGGUGAGUUGGGCCAACAUGCUAACGAGUGCAAGAAUAAUGUUCUGAGAUGCUUCAAGUGUGGGAAGGCCUAUCAUAGUAUGCAGAUUUCAAGAGUGUUGGGUCGACUUAUUUUAAUUGCAGUGAAUAGGGUCACAUCAAUACCAAUUGUCAAAAGCCAAAGAAGGCACAGUCUAGGGGAAAAUUCUUUGCUUUGUCAAGGUCAGAGACUACUAGCACCGACAGGUUGAUUCGAGGCACG